rnacentral:rRNA from 1 species
ACUCAAAUGAAUAGACGGGGAUCCGCACAAGCAGCGGAGCGUGUGGUUUAAUUCGAUGCGACGCGAAGAACCUUACCAGAACUUGACAUGCACUGGAUCAUCUGAGAGAUCAGUUUCCCUUCGGGGCUGGUGCACAGGUGCUGCAUGGCUGUCGUCAGCUCGUGCCGUGAGGUGUUGGGUUCAGUCCCGCAACGAGCGCAACCCCUACUGCUAGUUGAGCAUUUCUAGCAGGACUGCCGUUUAGCAGCGGAGGAAGGUGGGGAUGACGUCAAGUCAGCACGGCCCUUACGUUCUGGGCGACACACACGCUACAAUGGCCGAUAACAAAGGGAAGCCAACCCGCGAGGGAGAGCCAAUCCUCUCAAAGUCGGUCUCAGUUCGGAUAAGAGGCUGCAACCCGCCUCUUUGAGUUGGAGUUGCUAGUAACCGUAGGUCAGCACACUACGGUGAAUACGUUCCCGGGUCUUGCACACACCGCCCGU